UGCUAAAUUUACUAUUUUAGAAAGAACUUUCCAGAAUUAUGUAAAUUAAUGUUCCAAAAAGUACUUUUCGAAAUAGUAAAAUUAAUG
rnacentral:miRNA from 1 species